rnacentral:lncRNA from 1 species
GCCAAACAAGGAAAAAAUAAGAAACAAAAAAGAAUGGGGUAAUCUCUCCCAUGACAAGCCCUGAAUAUAAAUAAGGGUGCGGUCUUAAAGUGAGUCAUUACUCCAUUGCCUACUCCUUUCAUGGCAGAGACAGUGAUGUCGUGGAAUAGAAGCUGUUAAAGAGGCUUUAUAUAACUAUUAGCCUCUGAAACAAUAGACAGGCAGCAGGGUGUUGUUCCAGAAAAUGUUCAAAGAGGAGGAGUAAUUUUGUCCUUUACAAAUUUAAUAUCUUCUCUUUUCUCCUAUAUCAUUUGGAGGAAGCGCCUUUUUCCUUUUUCUCUUUUUUAAGCAAAAUAAGCGUUAUGCACUAGUAGGUAGUGAGUGAAUUCUCUUUGCCAGCAGGAAGAAAAGCAAUUUUUGAAUGCCAAAAAUAGCUCCUUUGUGUGAAAAUAUCACAUAGCCCAAGACAUUUUUGGGAGAAAGCAAAGAUUCAUGUUCUGAAUUAUUGUUUUUUAAAUAUACAGGCAGAGAAAUGUUAAUAAUAGAAAAGACAGAAAUUGAUGGUCAUUUCAAAGUCUGAAUGUUUAUCCUGUUUACGACACACUCAGACUUUUGUGUGGUCUCAGUCAUAAUUCCUCUCCCAGGCUAUGUCUCUAGGAGAUAGGUAUUCCUAAUCAUUCUGUUUGGGUCAAGACAUUUUAUUCCUUCCCUACCUUUUACUACUUGUUCCUAUGCAACAUUACAAACCAGCAAAGUAUGAACUGACCUGGAUAUAGGAGAUGGCCCUAGAGCUGUAGACAGAAUUAAAAAUCGUAUCUUUUUUUUUUUUUUUUGUAAAGCACCCCGACAUCUUUGGGAACCGUUCACUCUAGGGAAUCUUUUUAUCCAUUAUUUGCAAAUAGCAGACCAUCAGCCAGUUACAAAGACUUUUGAUAGAGGUGGUGGGCAUCUUUUACUUUCACCCAACCAGUAUCCCUUUCUGCUUCAUUUGAUAGUAACAUAUCCUUUUCUUUUGAAAAACUAACCAUUCUUAUUACAUGUCAUUUUGAUGGCACUGUCAGUCCAACUGUACUGCCUUCCUUCUGGCCAGUGAGUGGAUGGCCAUGUGAACCAGGCUGGGACAGUGAGAUGUUUUCCUAUGAACGUGAGUAUUGAAUGGAAUGACACAAGAAUGGAACAUGGUCACUGACUCACUUUGCUAGUGGUUCUACUUGUCUGACUGCUGAAUGAAUUCUAACUCCUGACUGACAGAUUUUGGAACCUGGAAGUAGAGUGCUCUUAUAGCAAAAUCUAAAAUGAGACAGUGGUUUUGGAAAUAGGCGGUGUGUAGAAGGUGGAAACUGUGAGAAUUUUGAGUAGAGUAUUGGUGAAAGAUCAAGUACCUUGAACCCAUUGUGCAUACAAUUUUGAAUUAUGAGGAGGCUGGCAGUGAGGCCUUAAAGGAAUGGGAGAAAAAUCUUAUUGGAAACUGGAGGGAAGGGCAGAAACUUAACAAUACACUUGUCUGCAGGAACAUGGAAAGUAGAAAAUGUGCCUGAUAAACUAGGGGAUCUAGCUGAGAUUUCCAAGCAGAACGGUUAGUUACCACCCAUUUUUUUUUUCUUGCUGCUUAUAGUAAAACAUGAGAUGAGAGAAAGCUAAACUAAGGGAAGGACUGUUAAACAAAAAGAAGCUGGAUCUUGAUGGUUCUGAAAGCUCUCACACUAUUCAGAAAGUCGGAGAUGCUAAAACGGAGAUAAUGUCUAGGGUGUGGCCAUAAAUCUUUUUAUUAAGAUCUUCACAAUUCUCUGGUACCUCAGAGAACCUUCAGUCAGACUGAAGGGCCCCUUAAGGAGAUUAAGAGUGUGCCACACAGAUUCUCUCAGCCAAAGAGUAGAGCUUCUAAGAAGCCUAAGGGCAUUGUCCCCAGUCAUCUCAGCAGAAGCCCAAGGUGGAAGGGAGAUUAUCUGUAAGAGGUGUGUGGGUGGGGCUUUUGUCUGAUGGAUUUAACCUGGAGAAGUUUCACAGGAAACCCAUAAGGUUCUCAAAAGAGAUAGAUACAGAAACAUUACCACUUGGAUGGAAUGGGACAGUGCAGAACAGUACAGAAUGAAGACAGGGCUUUGAAGGCCCAGAAUUUUAACACCUGCUAUAUUUUGCAAAACUAGAAAGAAGACUAGGAGGGUGAAACCAAGAGCCCAGAGGGCAGAGUGGAGAAACACGAAGAAUUAUUUCAGAUAUGAGACCUAAUCAAGGAUCUUCCAACAUUUGCCUGGCUCAAUUUUAGAACUGCCAUGGACCUGUAACCCCUAUGUCUUCCAUCCCCUACCCCUUCUUUGAACAGGGUCAUAUAAGUGCUUAUCUUAUAUCUGUCCCGCUGUUGCAUGUUGGCAGAGGAAGACAUAAUUUGCUCUUGUUUUAUGGGUUUAAAAAUAACAAGGAAUUGUAUUUGAAGAGCUGUGCUUAAAGAACUACACUUGAGAAACCACAUUCAUACUUGGACCUGAUUUAGAUGACGAGAUUAUGGACUUGAAGCUGAUAUUGCAAUGGAAUGAGAAUUUUGAAGUCUUUGGGGGCAGUGAGUACAUUUUGCAUUUGAGAGGUAAAUAAAUCAUUGGGCACCAGAGGAUACACUGUGGUGGGCAGCCUAUAAGGUGGCUCCUAGUGAUCCUUGCCUUCUGGUAUUCACAUCGUUUUGUAAUACCUUCUUGCUGAGUGUGGGCUGGGCUUGUUGACUCACAUAUAACAAAUAGAAUACCUGGGAAGUGAUAGGACAGUAAUUGAGGGAUUAGGUUAUAAAAGGCUGCAGUUUUCAUCUUGGAGGCUCUCUCUCACUCUCUUUUGAAUGACUUACCCUGGGGAAGCCAGCUGCCAUGCUAUAAAGCAUAAGGCAGCCCUGUGGCAAGUCCCAUGGAAAUGGACUUGAAAAUAGACUUUCUGAGACCUGCCCAUAGCUAUGUGAAUGGGCUUGGAAGCAGAUAUCCUUGAGAUAACUGUAGUCUCAGCCAAAACCUUGAUUGUAGCCCAUGAAAGAAUCUGUGCCAAAACGACACAGCUAAGCUGCUCCUGAUUCGUGAGCUACAGAAACUUUUGAAAAAUAAUUGUUUGCUAUUUUCAGCCUCUAAAUGUUGAGAUAAUUUGUUAUGCAGAAAUGGAUAAAAAUACACUCAUAUUCUAGAGGAUACACUAUGCUAUAAUGCUCUAAUUGCUAUUAUUCAACAUUUUGUGAAAAGGCAAUUCCACUGUGUUUAAGAGGAUGACAUUGUCAAUGAAUCUUUUAGUCACUAUUUAGUCACUAUUUGAAGAGUGCCAACUUUGACCACAAUUUUAUUUUUAAAAAUUGUGCUAAUGCCAAAUUCCUUUUUAAAUCUGAUUUCUCAAAUAUCGUGAAAUAUAAAGUUUGGUCUCCUACCUCUCCACUGUCUUAACUGAUCUUUUGAUUAAUUCUUUUCUUUAAUUACAAAACGAUAGCUUAAAAUGGCAUGAGGGCAUGGUGUUCCCUUGGUCCUUGGAAUUAUCCCAGGUUGGAGUGCUCAAAGAUAGGCUAGAUUUAUAUAUAAUAAUGUUACCUUUAUGAGAUGCUUAUGUGUAACAGGAACUUUGAAACUUGCUUUCUGUCAUCAUUUUAGACAAUUCUCAUACCAAUUGUUUGAAUUAGGCAUCAUUAUUAUUCCUCCUUUAAAGAGAGUUGCCCAAUGUCAUACAUCAGUGAGAGGUGGAUCUGAGAUUUGAACCCAGAUCUGCCUAUCUUCAAGAAAUCCUGAGCUCUUAAUCACUUUAGGCAAAGAAGAUGUCCUGUGCCUCUUUGCAUGAAUUAAUAAGCUGUGAUAAGUGGAUUCGCUCCAUGGCCCAGUGGUUACAAAACAGAACCUGUGCGAGCCCAUUUCAUAUCCUCCUGGAUGCAGCCUGUGAGGGGUUUUGAAUCCAGAGAAGCCCUUUUGUCACAUGUGAGCCCAGGACAUUUUUGAAGAGAGAAGUCCAUGCCCAAUCUGAAAUAAACUCUGUCACCAGGUUAUAGCCUCUGCCUUUAAGAAAACUUUGGGCAAUCUUAAACAUUAUUCAGAAUGUGGGAGAUACUUGAAGUGGUCAGUUAUAUUGAUUUUUCAGGAUCAAGAGUACAUGAAUUCUAAGAGAGAAAUCAGAGGGUUUCAACAGGCAUUUGGAUGGAGUGGAACAAAAACUCCCUGGCUAUGCCUGUGACCAAGACUAUCACUGUUUGUUUUCCGCUAAGGGAAAACAGGGGCUAGCAUGUUUGGUAAACUGUUACAUGCCAGAGUGUUCACUAAAUGCUUUAUGCAUUUGGGUCAUUCUGACAAACAUUGACUCAUUUGUUGGUUAUUUAAAAGGGACAAUUGAAAUAUAAAAU